rnacentral:rRNA from 1 species
GAUGAACGCUGGCGGCGUGCCUAAUACAUGCAAGUCGAGCGAACAGACGAGGAGCUUGCUCCUCUGACGUUAGCGGCGGACGGGUGAGUAACACGUGGAUAACCUACCUAUAAGACUGGGAUCACUUCGGGAAACCGGAGCUAAUACCGGAUAAUAUAUUGAACCGCAUGGUUCAAUAGUGAAAGACGGUUUUGCUGUCACUUAUAGAUGGAUCCGCGCCGCAUUAGCUAGUUGGUAAGGUAACGGCCUACCAAGGCAACGAUGCGUAGCCGACCUGAGAGGGGGAUCGGCCACACUGGAACGGGGACACGGUCAAUACGCCUACGGGAGGCAGCAGUAGGGAAUCUUCCGCAAUGGGCGAGAGCCUGACGGAGCAACGCCGCGUGAGUGAUGAAGGUCUUCGGAUCGUAAAACUCUGUUAUUAGGGAAGAACAAAUGUGUAAGUAACUAUGCACGUCUUGACGGUACCUAAUCAGAAAGCCACGGCUAACUACGUG